AUGUCGAUGUUUUUUUGCUUGUAGUCUAGGAGCCAUGGAACAUCGUGUGUCCAAACAUAUGUCCGGAGCAUCUGAAAGCGGUUUUCGGUAGAGGUCGACUCCCAGACGAAGAAUAGUUUGGGUGCCAGGCCAGGCUGAAA